rnacentral:lncRNA from 1 species
CUUAUUGGAUCUAUUAAAAACUUUAUUGGCCCACCAGCCCACCUAGACAAACCUGCUUCUUCGUCUUCAAGCUUGGUGAGCCUCUCCCGACUCUUCCACUUCAUCUUCUCCGAUCUUUGUCUUUUGUUUUUGCGUUACCUUCUCAAUCAAUGAUCAUAUUCAAUACUGGUGUGGAAAUACCUUUGGAUCCAAAGGGAUUUGCUUUCAUCCAAAUCAACGAUUCGUUUCCAGGUUUUGCUUUCAUCCUAUUCUGAUUAUUCUUAUAAAAUCUGAUGCAGAGAUUCAUUUGUCUUCUUCUUCGUCUCCCCAUU